GAGGAAACCUGAGCAGCAGCAGCAACGCUCGCUCUCUGCUGCCCGUCCCCACCGCUUGCCAGGGGCAGGUGGUGAGGCCAGUGGGGUGGGUGACGGGCCCUCCAGGUACUAGGAGGGAAUUGUCCCCAGGGUAUCUGCUGGCUUGCAGUUGACACGAGGCCUCUUCGGAGGAGAAACUUCUCCACUCACUCCAGCCGUCUCUGGGUGCCUUUCUGUCCGGCUCCAGGCGCCUCCACUGAAAAUUCCACUCUGAGAGGCUGUAUGGACUCUCAUCCAAACACGCGGCAGGUGAUCAUCUAAACCACCCAGGGAAGAUGCCAGAGGUGACUGAUCCUCAAGCUGCCCUGCCUUUGCUAAUUAAAGUCUGCAAACCUUCAAGCCCAUCGCCCCUGCUUGGCUGUCUGCGUGACCACAACCCCUACGCUCUUCCAAGCAACAUUUGCUCCAACUUAAUAUUCUGGUGCUUUCGGGAACAUUUAAAAAUAAACCAU